AGAAACAGAGAGAUCGCAGAGAGGAGAAAUGGCGUAUCACCAUUCUUGUCAUCAUUUGCUGAAUGUCAAGCAUUAGAUGACCAUCUGUGCAUUCCAGGAGCGAGACCCAGUUCUUAAACCCUGGGGUUUUUGUGCACCUAUAGCCUGGAUCAGUCUCAUCACCAGGUUCCCAUGGGGACCACAAAACCCCUGUUGUCACGGUACCCGUGUCCCUCGGCAACUCAGCCAGGCAGCCGGCUCGCCGAGGGAGCGAGCGGGAGAGGGACCACAGGACGGAUUAAGUCUUCUAUUCCAAGACAAGUACCUGUCUGAUUGAAGCUACACUCCAGGAAUGGUCUGUCAAUGGCAGCACCAAUGGUUGCCCAGCAUGAGGAGGCCUCUCGUCUGGACGCUCUUCUGUCUUUCUGGAUCCGUGCACCCGGGGGGCCUCAUCCAGCAUAUGCUUUGAUGCUAUAGAAAUUAUACAUUUGUCUGUGGUAGGUUGGGGGUUGUUGACAAUCAAGAGGUUAUAUACAUCGAAGAAAAAUAUUUGUAAUGACAUUACAAAUAUUUGUAAUGUAGAGUUUGAGGAGGAGAUGGUGCGUUUUCAUGCCCUGAGUUUGGUAAUUGGACUGUGCCUGUGGGAGAAUUGACUGCCACACAAAAAUAAAGCUUUCGUGUCAUCACCUGUUAUCUGAAAAACAAUAUUCUGGACCUGUGAUCUUAUAACAAGCAAGCACCAUGUU